AUUAUUCUCCUUCUUGGAGCCUAAUCGUUCUCAUAGUACCUUGGUGGCUGGCUACUUUAGCAAGCAUUUAGUCUAAAGUUUGGAGAUUGAUAAGUUUCAAAAUAUGGAAAAGGAAUGGAACUAGAAAUGUCAGUGAUUUCCAGCUGUAGCUCCUUUGUUGUGAUUUCGUCGAUGAAGGACAAGUGUUCUCUUUGCUGGAGACUUAGGAAGAGAAUGUCCUUUUGGAACAUAAGUAUGGAAUCUAAGUCGAGCUUCUAUCUUUAUGAGGGCCUAAAAGUUUGAUUCAGCUUUGUACAAAAGCAUGCAUGAAGCACCUUGCUAUGGUGAAGAAUCUUUAAGUCAAUUUUCCAGUUG